UGUUGUUAUAAAUUAAUCUAUGAUAUUUUUGUCUGAGUUUACAGGCCGUCUGGCAUAUAAUUUCCACUUGGCCUAAUAUCUGAUUACAUGGGCUGAAACUGCUGUCCAUUUUCCCGAAAUGUCGUCCAUUGUUAGCUUAUUAGCUGGGCCAGUUACGGUUCUGAUAGUCUCUGCAAAACACUGGCAGGUUUACCUUACCAAGGGUGUUUUUCCUUUCACUGGCUAAGCACUGUUGCCCAAGUGCUGAAACGUCUGGAAUCACUUGCAGACCAUAAGGCACAUGAACCAAUAUGUCACUGUCUUGUCUUCAGUGUAGAAGCUGGAAGUUGGAACUUGGAAUAAGUGUAGUAGAAGUUGGACUGGCGUCCAUCAUCACCUUGGGAUUUCGUCUUUUGUGAUCUGCGAUGGUGGCUUCUUUGGUGAAAUUUGACAGGGAGAAAAUUAUGAGAAAACGUAGCCUACCGUCGACUAGUUUGUUCAAUAUGAGUCAUCCGUCAUCGUAAUGACACAGGAUUCAUCAUAAUUAUCUGCUGUAAGAACUGGACUUGCUAGAUCACCAACCCCAUCACAGACCAAUCUCUCAUUCCAUCUUCUACUUCUAGAGAACCUUGGCUAACUGUUUGGUGGUUUCAAGUGUUUGAAACUAUAGGUUUCUAAAUUUGCAAGACAGACUUUAAGAAAAGUCAUGUUGAAGAAAAAGAGUCAACAAGGUACGCUACCUUGUUUGGUAACCUGUUGGCUGCUUCCCUUGAAUCUCCCUUUUUACUUUCUUAAGCUUGAUUUGAGGGUAACUCCUUCGCUACUUAUCAUGGACUUCAUCCAUUGGUGAUGCUAUAAUUCAAGAGAAUGCUGUCAUUCAAGACUGAAAAAUUGUGUAGUUGUUAGAUAAAACAAGUGCAUUUCUGGGCUCCCUUCUUUUCUGUGGCCCCGUUUCCCUAACUAACCACUAACCAACGCCCGCCGGUGGUCACUCACCCGCUGUGAAACCAGGAGGAGGGG